GUAAGGGAUAUUGCGCAAAUGGGCGAAAGCCUGACGCAGCAACGCCGCGUGUGGGAUGACGGCCUUCGGGUUGUAAACCACUUUUCGAGGCGAAGAGAGAGGACGGUAGCCUCGGAAGAAGUCUCGGCUAACUACGUGCCAGCAGCCGCGGUAAAACGUAGGAGGCGAGCGUUAUCCGGAUUUACUGGGUGUAAAGCGCGUGCAGGCGGUUCUGUAAGUGGGGUGUGAAAGCGCUCGGCUCAACCGGGCGAGGACGCUCCAGACUGCAGAACUAGAGGCAGGCAGAGGCGUGUGGAAUUCCGGGUGUAGUGGUGAAAUGCGUAGAGAUCCGGAGGAACACCAGUGGCGAAGGCGACACGCUAGGUCUGCACUGACGCUCAGACGCGAAAGCAUGGGGAGCGAACGGGAUUAGAUACCCGAGUAGUCC
rnacentral:rRNA from 1 species